UUAAAUGUACCAUUGUACUUUGUGAAUUUAUGGAAAAUGUGGAUGGAAUUGUUUGUUGGCAGGUUUUUGGCUAUGUUGGAAUAUGCAGAAGAAGUACUCAAGUGCACCGACGUCAUUGUGUGCUUCAAGAAAGAUUGCAAUGACAGAGCACUGAUAGUGCGAACAUUCAUGUACAUGGGGUUCACUACAUUGCCGCCAGGGCACCAGCUGAUACCUGGUAACACCGACACUGGCAUUAUGUACAUGCUGUGUUCCAUCGAGUAGCAAAGACUCAGUCUCAGCAGACAGAAGUACCCUUUCAGAUGUCGUGCCAAACAAUGGAUUUAUUCUUCUCUUGCCACUUCUAACGAAGAAAAUUGUUACAUAUGGCUGAGUGCAAAUACUGGCUUCAAAGGCUGUUUUUGAUCUCCAAACAUUGAAAUUGUUAGUUCUGAACUCAAAGAAAAUUCAUUCUACAAUAGACAUGCUUAAUUGUCUUAUAUUUCAUAAGAGCAUCAUUUCUUCUGGGAAUUGCGUUUUAAUAUUGUAACUAUUACAGUCACAAGUUUGUGGAAAAUGUUUGAUCGUUGCACAUCCUUUUAAUGUUUCAGCUUUGUUUUAAAUUCUGUUCGUUAGGUAGUAAAUUCAUUUUAAAAAUGUGUAUAUUUGUAUUGAUAAGCUAAUGGAAUAUUUAUACAUGUUUGUUCUUGUAAUAGAUGUUGACAUAAGUAGGAUUUGAGGUUUUUUACAGCGGCGAGUCUGAAGAUGGCUGUCUUCUGGUUUGUUGCGCCAUGUAGUCUGGUGGAACUUUGCCGUUGUUUCAGAGGCCCUUGCUACCUCACUCAUCAGGAUUGUGAGUAGCCUGAUGACGGAGGCAGCAAGGACCUCUGAAAUGUUGGUAAACUUAUACCAGACUACAUGGCGCAACAACCCAGAAGACUGCCAUCUUUAGAUGUUGACAAGCAGGAAACGUGCUGUUAAAAACUUUCUUAUAUCUGAUUCACAUGAGAUAUGUGUUUUAUGCUAGGAUUACAUCCUUUUCCCAUGUACUGUUUAAGUUUUCAUUCUUAUUUUUUAAAAUAUUGAUAUGUAAUAAACAUUAAAAUUGUUCUAAAUAAUGUACUUGUGAUUAUCAUGAAUACUUGUAACUGUACUGUGAGAAAUUAUACCCAUUUGUCUUUGUUAGUACUUAAAAAGAGCAUGCAUGUGCUGUACAGAUUAUCUAGAUGCCUAGGCCUGUAUAUUUAUUAAAAUAGACGCAGGUACUUUGAUGUAAAGAUUCAGUUCUGCAUGUUUUAAGUGUUCAAGGAUUGAAUUAUUUUAGUUAUUAUUUUGUAUGGGAUAUAUUAAUUUUUAAAUAUUAUUUAUAUAACCAUGGUAAUUAUUCUUAGGAUAAUUGAUGUUAAAUAUGUGUUGCCUUUGUGUUCUGUUUUUCUCGUGCUUCCAUCUCGGCAAGUGUUAAAAGUGGCAAGAUAAACUGUUUCCAUUAAGUAGAGUAACUCUGCAGGUAUUUGCAACUUCUAAGUCGUAAGGUGGUUUAAAUAUGUUUUCCCAUGUCUGAUUAAAAAGGUUUGCGAACAAUCUCUUUAAAAAGUUGACUUUUUGGCAGGGUAGGUCUUAUGUACUGUUUUAAUGUGGUGGAUAAAGUAAAAUUCUCUAUACUUAUUUUAUUGCUCUUUUCUGGAAAGGUGAGUGAACUGGAAAUCAGACUCAUUAAUUUUCGAGUAAAGCAGAAUUUUAUGUAUUUAGCAAAUUAUUUAGUCCUUACUUUUUUUUAAGACGUUUCGCUGGCCUUUGCCUGUAAGUGCUGAAUGAUUACACACUUUAAAUCUUAAAACUCAUUCAUUAAAAUGAAUGUUCAAAAAAUAUAUAAAACAUUUAAAAAUUAAAAAAAAAGUCAUUGUAUGCCCAAACUUAUUCAGUGGUAAUAAUUUAGUUAAUUUAGGUAUAAUUAUUCCAUUCCAUUUUUUUUUUAAAUGAGUGCUUCUAUUCCAGUCUUGUAUUAUAAAAGGAAAAUAUUAAUCAGAAUGGUUUGUUCGAUGAAAAAUGUUGGUUGGGGUAAUUUGUCUCUGAAGAGAAAGUCAGAUGUGCAUUACAGAAGCAGAUACUUUGUGUUAAUUUUUGUGAAAAAUGCAACAUAGCAGAGACUGAAAAGCAAUACAAAAAUUUGAGGAGACAGUAUGGUAGGAACAAUGUGAUUGCAAACAAAUGUAAUGGUAUGAGAGAGAGUUCAUAGUUCUUGUACACAUUGAUAACACACAUGUAAAGUGCAGUAAAUGAAAUAUAAAUUAUGGAAGGAAGGCUCA